GCCUAGCCUUAACAUAACAAUUAAAUAACCCAUUGUUCGCCAAAUAACUACGAGUUACAACUUAAAAUUUAAAAGACUUGACGGUACCCCACAACAACCUAGAGGAGCCUGUCUAAUAAACGAUACCCCACGAUUAACCCCACCUACCAUAGCCUACCAGUCUAUAUACCGCCGUCGCCAGCCCACCUCCUGAGAGAAUAAAAGUGAGCCAAACAGCUUAUCACUAACACGACAGGUCAAGGUGUAACUAAUGGGUAGGAACAAGAUGGGCUACAUUUUCUACUCAGAACAUACGAAUCAAACUUUGAAAAAACAAUUGAAGGCGGAUUUAGCAGUAUAUUAAGGACAAAACACUUAAUUGAAACCAACGCAAUGGGGUGCGCACACACCGCCCGUCAUCCCUGCUACCAAAAUUUCACAUUUAUAAUAACUAUACACAUACCCAACCAGGGCAAGUCGUAACAUGGUAAGCGUACUGGAAAGUGCGCUUAGAAA
rnacentral:rRNA from 1 species